rnacentral:rRNA from 1 species
GCAACGCCGCGUGAGUGAUGACGGCUCUCGGGUUGUAAAACUCUGUGAUCCGGGACGAAAAGGCAGAGUGCGAAGAACAAACUGCAUUGACGGUACCGGAAAAGCAAGCCACGGCUAACUACGUGCCAGCAGCCGCGGUAAUACGUAGGUGGCAAGCGUUGUCCGGAAUUAUUGAGCGUAAAGCGCGCGCAGGCGGCUUCCCAAGUCCCUCUUAAAAGUGCGGGGCUUAACCCCGUGAUGGGAAGGAAACUGGGAAGCUGGAGUAUCGGAGAGGAAAGUGGAAUUCCUAGUGUAGCGGUGAAAUGCGUAGAGAUUAGGAAGAACACCGGUGGCGAAGGCGACUUUCUGGACGAAAACUGACGCUGAGGCGCGAAAGCGUGGGGAGCAAACAGGAUUAGAUACCCUGGUAGUCCACGCCGUAAACGAUGGGAUACUAGGUGUAGGAGGUAUCGACCCCUCCUGUGCCGGAGUUAACGCAUAAGUAUCCGCCUGGGAGUACGAUCGC